rnacentral:tRNA from 1 species
CGGGUGCUGGGGGAGCGGGCCGCGCGGCUGCCUGCCGCGGACGUGGUGUCCGCGGUGGCGGCGUUCGGUGAGCUGGUUCCCGA